AUUGAACGCUGGCGGCAUGCCUUACACAUGCAAGUCGAACGGCAGCGCGGGGCAACCUGGCGGCGAGUGGCGAACGGGUGAGUAAUAUAUCGGAACGUGCCCUGGAGUGGGGAUAACGUAGCGAAAGUUACGCUAAUACCGCAUACGAUCCAAGGAUGAAAGCAGGGGACCUUCGGGCCUUGUGCUCCUGGAGCGGCCGAUAUCUGAUUAGCUAGUUGGUGGGGUAAAAGCCUACCAAGGCGACGAUCAGUAGCUGGUCUGAGAGGACGACCAGCCACACUGGAACUGAGACACGGUCCAGACUCCUACGGGAGGCAGCAGUGGGGAAUUUUGGACAAUGGGGGGCAACCCUGAUCCAGCAAUGCCGCGUGUGUGAAGAAGGCCUUCGG
rnacentral:rRNA from 1 species